AUUGAACGCUGGCGGCAGGCUUAACACAUGCAAGUCGAGCGGAGAUGAGGUGCUUGCACCUUAUCUUAGCGGCGGACGGGUGAGUAAUGCUUAGGAAUCUGCCAUUUAGUGGGGGACAACAUUCCGAAAGGAAUGCUGUUACCGCAUACGUCCUACGGGAGAAAGCAGGGGAUCUUCGGACCUUGCGCUAAAUGAUGAGCCUAAGUCGGAUUAGCUAGUUGGUGGGGUAAAGGCCUACCAAGGCGACGAUCUGUAGCGGGUCUGAGAGGAUGAUCCGCCACACUGGGACUGAGACACGGCCCAGACUCCUACGGGAGGCAGCAGUGGGGAAUAUUGGACAAUGGGGGGAACCCUGAUCCAGCCAUGCCGCGUGUGUGAAGAAGGCCUUUUGGUUGUAAAGCACUUUAAGCGAGGAGGAGGCUACCUGGAUUAAUACUCUAGGAUAGUGGACGUUACUCGCAGAAUAAGCACCGGCUAACUCUGUGCCAGCAGCCGCCGUAAGAC
rnacentral:rRNA from 1 species